AGUGUAGGCGGUUACUUAAGUCGGAUGUGAAAUCCCCGGGCUCAACCUGGGAAUUGCAUUCGAUACUGGGUAGCUAGAGUUUGGUAGAGGUAAGUGGAAUUCCGGGUGUAGCGGUGAAAUGCGUAGAUAUCCGGAGGAACAUCAGUGGCGAAGGCGGCUUACUGGACCAAAACUGACGCUGAGGCUCGAAAGCGUGGGGAGCAAACAGGAUUAGAUACCCUGGUAGUC
rnacentral:rRNA from 1 species